rnacentral:lncRNA from 10 species
AAAUUACUGGAUAAUAGCAGGAACAUUGUGUGUGUUUUAUUUUUGUGUGUGUGGUUGUGUAUGUGGUAUGUAUGUUUGUGUGUUUGUAUGUAUGAGAGAGAUUGUGCCUUAUGUGGAGUCUGGUAGUUUUGGCCCAUGACCAUACCUUAAAGUUUCAUCACCUAUCCUCUGGGACCAUUUCUUUCCUUAAUAUAUUUAAAUCACCAAAGUAGCUUGGCACAAAACAGGUGAGGCCUGUCUGAAAUAUGCUGAAGCCCGUGCUGCUUUGUAUUAACUCAUUAAAACAAGGAACCUGGAUCACCUGCACCUGAUCUGCAUUCUAGUCUGGCUUUAGAAACACAUUAGACUUAAAUUCAAACGCACCAGAAAUGAAAAUAAUUGAUAUAUAAUUGUUUUUGUAUAGUGAAGUAGAACUUUCUGAGUUUUUGAAAUUUCCUUGUUUCUCAAUUAUUCAGGCAUUAUUCAUGCAUUUUAUUA